UACAGAGGUCCCGAGCGUUGUUCGGAUUCAUUGGGCGUAAAGGGUUUGUAGGUGGCCUGCUAAGUCAGACGUGAAAUCCCUCGGCUCAACCGGGGAACUGCGUGUGAUACUGGCGGGCUUGAAUUCGGGAGAGGGAUGUGGAAUUCCAGGUGUAGCGGUGAAAUGCGUAGAUAUCUGGAGGAACACCGGUGGCGAAGGCGGAUCUCUGGGCCAUUACUGACGCUGAGGAGCGAAAGCGUGGGGAGCGAACGAGG
rnacentral:rRNA from 1 species